AAGUGGAGUCAGAGCAGCAGCAGGUGAAGGUAGAAAGUGUGUGUGAGCUGAUGUGAAUUGAGCAGCAUGGAUCAGUGUGAGGACCGAGAGGAGGGAGCCCCUCCCUCUAAAAGCACUCUGUGUGGGGAACAUGAGAGCCAGACCAAAGCUCAGAGGAACCCACCUGGACCUCCACCCAGCUCUGUGUCCUUACAGAGUGAUGACUCAAAGGAUCUUGGUAUUAACUUUAAAUCAGGCGUGUGUCAUCCAGCAGAGAGAGUGGAUCAACAGAGCUCAGAGGUUCCCAGUGGUCAGUCUGCCCAGCAGCAUCAAACACAGCUGGACUCCAUAUUUAUGGUCUGUACAUGUACAACAACUACUUUAUUAUUAAUAUUAAUAAUAAUACAUUUAUUUAUAGGUCCUUUUCAGAACACCAAGGACUCUGUGGACUAAAUGACCAAAAGAAAACAAACUUUGAAAUCAGACGGUGCAAAUGUGAUCACAGGGAAACGUUUUAAACAUCGAGAGUUAAACAAAAACCAAAGUGAAACAGUUUGUA